UACUAGAGUAGCACUCGCAUAUCAAUAAGCGGAGGAAAAGAAACUAACAAGGAUUCCCCUAGUAACGGCGAGUGAAGCGGGAAGAGCUCAAAUUUGAAAUCUUAAGGGGUUUCCCUUUACGAAUUGUAGUUUAAAGAAGUGUUUUCUGUUGAGGUUUUGGUAAAAGUUCUUUGGAAUAGGACAUCAUAGAGGGUGAGAAUCCCGUAUUUGACCUUUACUUUCAACUUUGUGAUACACUUUCAAAGAGUCGGAUUGUUUGGGAAUGCAGUCCAAAAUGGGUGGUAAAUUUCAUCUAAAGCUAAAUAUUGGCGAGAGACCGAUAGCGAACAAGUACCGUGAGGGAAAGAUGAAAAGAACUUUGAAAAGAGAGUUAAACAGUACGUGAAAUUGUCAAAAGGGAAGCGUUUGACACCAGUGUUGUUUUUCUGAAAAUCAAUUAAAGAACUGUUUAUGCUAAGUUGUUUAGACUUUAUCAGCUAUCUGUUUAGUUUUGAGCUUUUCUUUAAUGCACUUUUCAGUUAACAAGUCAACAUCAAUUUCUUCUGCUGUAAAAAAGCUUGAGGAAGGUGGCUUGAGAUUCGUCUUAAGUGUUUAUAGCCUCUUGCCUAUGCAGUCGGAGAGAUUGAGGUCUGCAGCGUAGAUCCUUCGGGGCUAAAUGCAUUUGUGCUAAGUUAUAGCAUUUUAUAGACAACUUGUUGACUAUGAUUUGUCUUGUAGCUUACUCGCUUAUGUUAUUUUACCUACGCUUAGGAUGUUGAACUACUGAGACAUAGA
rnacentral:rRNA from 1 species